UUAAGCAUAUCACUAAGCGGAGGAAAAGAAACUAACCAGGAUUCCCCUAGUAACUGCGAGUGAAGGGGGAUUAGCCCAGCACCGAAGUCUGUGGUUGUUUGACUACUAGACAAUGUGGUGUUUUGGUGGGUCCAUGGUUUAACUGCUCCACCUCAAGUCCGGCAAUGAGUACGGCUGCUGGAUUGGCCCAGAGAGGGUGAAAGGCCCGUGGGGGUGGAGUUCAGGCUAGACAGUUAAGCCCUGGGCCUACCAUGGAGUCGGGUUGUUUGUGAAUGCAGCCCAAAGUGGGUGGUAAACUCCAUCCAAGGCUAAAUACUGGCACGAGUCCGAUAGCGAACAAGUACCGUGAGGGAAAGUUGAAAAGUACUUUGAAGAGAGAGUAAACAGUGCGUGAAACCGCUCAGAGGUAAACGGGUGGAGUUGAACUGUAAGCCCUGAGGAUUCAACUAAUGAGGAUGGUCUGUGCUUGGGCAGGCUGGUUGGCAAUCAGAGUCUGAGUGAAUUAUCAGGCCCCUUUCCCUUGUUGGACUGGGGUGUGCGAUGCACUUAUCAAGUGUUGCGCGCUCUGGUGUGUCCGGGCCAACUCGUUAGUGCACUUUCUCAGGGUGAUCACCACGACCGACACUGCUGUCUAUCUAUCACAGUCAAACCGGUCAGAUUUGGUCGAUACGAUCAGAUUUGGCCGGGAUGGCAGGUAACUCACUUGGUCGGGUUCACUCGGUCAUUUGAGCGUAAUUAGCUGGCUAUGAUGGAUUUGUACGGUGUGUCGGAGGUUGCGGCUUGUGUGUGCAUUGGUGCUAAUCGGGCGCCUGCAUUAAGCCUGGCGGGUAUGUUUAUCAGACCUGUUGGUAACUUGAUGUAGUGCGCUCGGUAGUGGCCUGUGUGACACUUAUUUGGCCUAUAGUCUGUGGUGCUGUGGUAGACUAUCCACCCGACCCGUCUUGAA
rnacentral:rRNA from 1 species